rnacentral:rRNA from 1 species
CUUAGGCGUGUGACUGCGUACCUUUUGUAUAAUGGGUCAGCGACUUAUAUUCUGUAGCAAGGUUAACCGAAUAGGGGAGCCGAAGGGAAACCGAGUCUUAACUGGGCGUUAAGUUGCAGGGUAUAGACCCGAAACCCGGUGAUCUAGCCAUGGGCAGGUUGAAGGUUGGGUAACACUAACUGGAGGACCGAACCGACUAAUGUUGAAAAAUUAGCGGAUGACUUGUGGCUGGGGGUGAAAGGCCAAUCAAACCGGGAGAUAGCUGGUUCUCCCCGAAAGCUAUUUAGGUAGCGCCUCGUGAAUUCAUCUCCGGGGGUAGAGCACUGUUUCGGCAAGGGGGUCAUCCCGACUUACCAACCCGAUGCAAACUGCGAAUACCGGAGAAUGUUAUCACGGGAGACACACGGCGGGUGCUAACGUCCGUCGUGAAGAGGGAAACAACCCAGACCGCCAGCUAAGGUCCCAAAGUCAUGGUUAAGUGGGAAACGAUGUGGGAAGGCCCAGACAGCCAGGAUGUUGGCUUAGAAGCAGCCAUCAUUUAAAGAAAGCGUAAUAGCUCACUGGUCGAGUCGGCCUGCGCGGAAGAUGUAACGGGGCUAAACCAUGCACCGAAGCUGCGGCAGCGACACUGUGUGUUGUUGGGUAGGGGAGCGUUCUGUAAGCCUGCGAAGGUGUGCUGUGAGGCAUGCUGGAGGUAUCAGAAGUGCGAAUGCUGACAUAAGUAACGAUAAAGCGGGUGAAAAGCCCGCUCGCCGGAAGACCAAGGGUUCCUGUCCAACGUUAAUCGGGGCAGGGUGAGUCGACCCCUAAGGCGAGGCCGAAAGGCGUAGUCGAUGGGAAACAGGUUAAUAUUCCUGUACUUGGUGUUACUGCGAAGGGGGGACGGAGAAGGCUAUGUUGGCCGGGCGACGGUUGUCCCGGUUUAAGCGUGUAGGCUGGUUUUCCAGGCAAAUCCGGAAAAUCAAGGCUGAGGCGUGAUGACGAGGCACUACGGUGCUGAAGCAACAAAUGCCCUGCUUCCAGGAAAAGCCUCUAAGCAUCAGGUAACAUCAAAUCGUACCCCAAACCGACACAGGUGGUCAGGUAGAGAAUACCAAGGCGCUUGAGAGAACUCGGGUGAAGGAACUAGGCAAAAUGGUGCCGUAACUUCGGGAGAAGGCACGCUGAUAUGUAGGUGAAGUCCCUCGCGGAUGGAGCUGAAAUCAGUCGAAGAUACCAGCUGGCUGCAACUGUUUAUUAAAAACACAGCACUGUGCAAACACGAAAGUGGACGUAUACGGUGUGACGCCUGCCCGGUGCCGGAAGGUUAAUUGAUGGGGUCAGCGCAAGCGAAGCUCUUGAUCGAAGCCCCGGUAAACGGCGGCCGUAACUAUAACGGUCCUAAGGUAGCGAAAUUCCUUGUCGGGUAAGUUCCGACCUGCACGAAUGGCGUAAUGAUGGCCAGGCUGUCUCCACCCGAGACUCAGUGAAAUUGAACUCGCUGUGAAGAUGCAGUGUACCCGCGGCAAGACGGAAAGACCCCGUGAACCUUUACUAUAGCUUGACACUGAACAUUGAGCCUUGAUGUGUAGGAUAGGUGGGAGGCUUUGAAGUGUGGACGCCAGUCUGCAUGGAGCCGACCUUGAAAUACCACCCUUUAAUGUUUGAUGUUCUAACGUUGACCCGUGAUCCGGGUUGCGGACAGUGUCUGGUGGGUAGUUUGACUGGGGCGGUCUCCUCCUAAAGAGUAACGGAGGAGCACGAAGGUUGGCUAAUCCUGGUCGGACAUCAGGAGGUUAGUGCAAUGGCAUAAGCCAGCUUGACUGCGAGCGUGACGGCGCGAGCAGGUGCGAAAGCAGGUCAUAGUGAUCCGGUGGUUCUGAAUGGAAGGGCCAUCGCUCAACGGAUAAAAGGUACUCCGGGGAUAACAGGCUGAUACCGCCCAAGAGUUCAUAUCGACGGCGGUGUUUGGCACCUCGAUGUCGGCUCAUCACAUCCUGGGGCUGAAGUAGGUCCCAAGGGUAUGGCUGUUCGCCAUUUAAAGUGGUACGCGAGCUGGGUUUAGAACGUCGUGAGACAGUUCGGUCCCUAUCUGCCGUGGGCGCUGGAGAACUGAGGGGGGCUGCUCCUAGUACGAGAGGACCGGAGUGGACGCAUCACUGGUGUUCGGGUUGUCAUGCCAAUGGCACUGCCCGGUAGCUAAAUGCGGAAGAGAUAAGUGCUGAAAGCAUCUAAGCACGAAACUUGCCCCGAGAUGAGUUCUCCCUGACUCCUUGAGAGUCCUGAAGGAACGUUGAAGACGACGACGUUGAUAGGCCGGGUGUGUAAGCGCAGCGAUGCGUUGAGCUAACCGGUACUAAUGAACCGUGAGGCUUAACCUUACAACGCCGAAGGUGU